rnacentral:lncRNA from 1 species
CAAGCUCUGAGAAAAGGUGGGAUCUGUACAGAUAUUGGAGGAAGGUGACCAGGCAAGACAGUCAGUUAAGACAGAAUCAGCUGAACAACUGCUCAUGCAUUCAAAACAACUUGAUUGAAUGCCUAUGUUCUAGACAUUCACAUGGUCUCUUUCUAUCUCAUAUACAGUUACACAGAAAUAAACCAAUGGGAGCUAACUAUAAUAAUGAGACAUCUCUGGUCACACUAUCAGCUAUCUAGUGUUCUCAGAAUCAAACCAAAAAUCUAAAAGGAUACACACAGAGAGUAAAGAUCAAGCACUCAGUUAAAAUUGUCAGACUGGCCGGGUGUGGUGGCUCAUGCCUAUAAUCCCAGCACUUUGGGAGGCCAAGGCAAGCAGAUCACCUGAGGUCAGGAGUUCAAGACCAGCCUGGCCAACAUGGCAAAACCCCGUCUCUACUAAAAAUACAAAAAUUAGCCGAGCAUGGGGGCUGAGGCAGAAGGAUGGCUUGAACCUGGGAGGUGGAGGUUGCAGUGAGCCAAGAUGGCGCCACUGCACUCCAGCCUGGGCAACAGAGUAAGACUCUGUCUCAAAAAAAUAAAAUUAAAAAAUUAACCGAGCAUGGUGGUGCAUGCCUGUAAUCCCACCUACUCAGGAGGCUGAGGAAGGAG